CCUACGGGGGGCAGCAGUGGGGGAUAUUGCACAAUGGGGGAAACCCUGAUGCAGCGACGCCGCGUGAGCGAUGAAGUAUCUCGGUAUGUAAAGCUCUAUCAGCAGGGAAGAAAAUGACGGUACCUGACUAAGAAGCCCCGGCUAACUACGUGCCAGCAGCCGCGGUAAUACGUAGGGGGCAAGCGUUAUCCGGAUUUACUGGGUGUAAAGGGAGCGUAGACGGCAGAGCAAGUCUGAAGUGAAAGGCAAGGGCUCAACCCUUGGACUGCUUUGGAAACUGUGCUGCUGGAGUGUCGGAGAGGCAA
rnacentral:rRNA from 1 species